UGGGGAAUUUUGGACAAUGGGCGAAAGCCUGAUCCAGCAAUGCCGCGUGUGUGAAGAAGGCCUUCGGGUUGUAAAGCACUUUUGUCCGGAAAGAAAUCCUUGGCUCUAAUACAGUCGGGGGAUGACGGUACCGGAAGAAUAAGCACCGGCUAACUACGUGCCAGCAGCCGCGGUAAUACGUAGGGUGCAAGCGUUAAUCGGAAUUACUGGGCGUAAAGCGUGCGCAGGCGGUUUGCUAAGACCGAUGUGAAAUCCCCGGGCUCAACCUGGGAACUGCAUUGGUGACUGGCAGGCUAGAGUAUGGCAGAGGGGGGUAGAAUUCCACGUGUAGCAGUGAAAUGCGUAGAGAUGUGGAGGAAUACCGAUGGCGAAGGCAGCCCCCUGGGCCAAUACUGACGCUCAUGCACGAAAGCGUGGGGAGCAAACAGGAUUAGAUACCCUGGUAGUCCACGCCCUAAACGAUGUCAACUAGUUGUUGGGGAUUCAUUUCCUUAGUAACGUAGCUAACGCGUGAAGUUGACCGCCUGGGGAGUACGGUCGCAAGAUUAAACUCAAAGGAAUUGACGGGGUCAUGCUGUUUCCU
rnacentral:rRNA from 1 species